UAUGUACUACCUCCGUCCGGAAAUACUUGUCCUAAAAAUGAAUAUAAUGAAUGUAUCUAUAAUUAAAAUAAGUCUAGAUACAUUCAUCUUUAGGACAAGUAUUUCUGGACGAGGGAGUAUUUU
rfam:Hordeum vulgare subsp. vulgare, WGS project CAJW01000000 data, contig: morex_contig_137247